GAAGAGGAUUUGACUCAGACAGGAGAACUCGUCAAUGGAAGCUCCAACUGGGCUGAAACUCUAGGGGAAGAUAGCUAUUACCUGGCCUAUUUAUUCCAACUGAAGGGCACCCAAAACAAAGAUCAAAACAUGAACUACAGUUGCUGCAACUCAUGUCCAGCUAUAGCAAGAUGACCAUCCCUGAAGUUUGGUUUGAUUCUCACAAUUGGGAAGGGAUUAGGGGCUGAAUUCCAGGGAGUUGGUCGCCCAGGGGAGGGCUUCCUUCAACCCAAAAACCAGGUU